rnacentral:rRNA from 1 species
CCUACGGGCGGCUGCAGUGGGGAAUAUUGCACAAUGGGGGAAACCCUGAUGCAGCGACGCCGCGUGAGUGAAGAAGUAUUUCGGUAUGUAAAGCUCUAUCAGCAGGGAAGAAGAAAGAUGGUACCUGACUAAGAAGCCCCGGCUAACUACGAGCCAGCAGCCGCGGUAAUACGUAGGGGGCAAGCGUUAUCCGGAUUUACUGGGUGUAAAGGGAGGGUAGAGGGGUAUGCAAGUCUGAAGGGAAAGCCCAGGGUUCAACCCUGGGACUGCUUUUGAAACUGUGGGUCUAGAGUGCUGGAGAGGUAAGUGGAAUUCCUGGUGUAGCGGUGAAAUGCGUAGAGAUUAGGAGGAACACCAGUGGCGAAGGCGGCUUACCGGACAGUAACUGACGUUGAGGCUCGAAAGCGUGGGGAGCAAACAGGAUUAGAUACCCGAGUAGUC